rnacentral:rRNA from 1 species
GACGAACGCUGGCGGCGUGCUUAACACAUGCAAGUCGAACGGAAAGGCCCUGCUUUUGUGGGGUGCUCGAGUGGCGAACGGGUGAGUAACACGUGAGUAACCUGCCCUUGACUUUGGGAUAACUUCAGGAAACUGGGGCUAAUACCGGAUAGGAGCUCCUGCUGCAUGGUGGGGGUUGGAAAGUUUCGGCGGUUGGGGAUGGACUCGCGGCUUAUCAGCUUGUUGGUGGGGUAGUGGCUUACCAAGGCUUUGACGGGUAGCCGGCCUGAGAGGGUGACCGGCAAAAUGGGGACUGAGAUACGGCCCAGACUCGUACGGGAGGAAGAAGUGGGGAAUAUUGAACAAUGGGCGGAAGCCUGAUGAAGAAACGCCGCGUGCGGGAUGACGGCCUUCGGGUUGUAAACCGCUUUCGCCUGUGACGAAGCGUGAGUGACGGUAAUGGGAAAAGAAGCACCGGCGAAUUACGU